AAUUCUCAACUCCUCCAGCUGUUGCAGCUGGGAUGGGGCUUGGAUUGUGGAGGGAUAGCUGGUGGAUUAUCAGCUCCUCUGAAAAGCAUUAGUGGAACUGGUUUGCGAUCCAUCACGGGUGUGAUAAUUAUCUAUGCCUGUGGGUUGCUCUCUGUGUGUUCUGCUGCCAACAUUGUCUUGGACAAAAUUUUUUGACG
rnacentral:misc_RNA from 1 species